rnacentral:lncRNA from 1 species
AGAAGAUCCUUAAAUUUCCUGUCAAUUUUUUAAAAUAUCUUUUUUUUUCAAAUAGCUGAAGUAUUCAUGCGUUGUGAGAUUUAAAAUAUUUUGAUGAGAACAUUAAUUCCUAAAUAGUUAAAUAAAGAUCGCUUUGGAUGGACUAAAUUAUAUAAUUGCACCGUACGACCAUCCAAUACAAGCAAAGCCCCUACCGCAAAGUCAGCUAAUUGACAAUGUAAAACAAUUCAAACGAAAAAAAUUAAAAAAACAGCCUAAUUUAUUUAAGAGAAAAUGAACGAAAAACAAAUAGGUAACACAUUAACAAACGACAACCACUGAAUUACAGACCACUGACUUGGAACAGGC